rnacentral:rRNA from 1 species
GACGCCGGGAAAUGUGGUGUUCGGGAGGAUCCAUUAUCCCGCGGCGUCGUGAUGCGUCCAAGUCCUUCUUGAACGGGGCCAUAACCCAUAGAGGGUGCCAGGCCCGUAGUGACCGUCGCACGUUGCGGGAGGAUCUCUCCUUAGAGUCGGGUUGCUUGAGAGUGCAGCCCUAAGUGGGUGGUAAACUCCAUCUAAGGCUAAAUAUGACCACGAGACCGAUAGCGAACAAGUACCGUGAGGGAAAGUUGAAAAGCACUUUGAAGAGAGAGUUCAAGAGUACGUGAAACCGUUCAGGGGUAAACCUGAGAAACCCGAAAGGUCGACGGGGAAAUUCAUUCGCGUUUCGCGCAGUCGACGCCCGGGUGACAGCGUGACGGACAGGCCCUCGGGCCAAGUACGCGCCUGUCUGCUCGGCGUUCGGCCGCGAACGCGUGCACUUUUCCCCUUGUCGGACGUCGCGAUCCGUUGGGUGUCGGUCGAAGGCCCGUGGUGGAGCCUCGUGCGGGACGCGUUUUCGCGUUCGCGUGCGAGACCCGCGGUGUUUCCUGACCGGCUCGCCCGACGGUAUGCCAAUGGCGCGGGGCCGCGAUUCAAUUCGCGUUCGGCCCGGAGCAAGUUCGUGUCGUUCAUGGUGCGGUGAUCGGACCUAGUGCCGAUCUCGCCGUCGACCGACUUGUUCGCUCCGGCGUUCUCGAACAGACCCUGUGAAACGCCGAUCGGCGACGCUAUAGCUUUGGGUACUUUCAAGACCCGUCUUG